rnacentral:lncRNA from 1 species
UUUUUUUUUUUUUUUUAAAGCCAUAAAAUCAAUGUGGAAGCAAAGAGAAAACCUUAUCCAUUAUCAUUAGCACCAAAUCCCCAAGGAUUCACGUGAUCAAUUGGUCAAAGGUCUCAGCCGAGCUGAUCCCUCAUCUUCUCUUAAACUUUUUACGUAAGAGACCUAGGGACAGAGGCCAGUAACCUCAGGGUACAAGGUUACCCUUCCACAAAAAGCCCAGCUCUAUGCACCAGAUGAAAUUAGCAGGCGUAAUGAAGAACAGAGCUGGGAAGCUAUUUCAUACAUACAUUUAGGGUAUGCGCUUGAAGGUAAUUCCAAUGAGUCACAUAAAUCUGCUGCCACUCAUAAUGCACCAACCAUGUAGUUCUUUAUUUUACUUUAUUUUAUUUAUUUAUUUAUUUUUAGUCUUUUUGCCUUUUCUAGGGCUGCUCCUGCGGCACAUGGGGGUUCCCAGAAAAGGCAAAAGGACAAAAAAAAAAAAAAAAAAACCUCAUAAAAAUGUGGUAUCAAUUGCACUCCCUCCCUCUAAAUGAGGAGAUCUGAAUUUAGACUGGAAGGUAUAAGUGCAAGCACAUUCUUGCAAUCAAGAACCUGCAAAGUGAAUUACAGGCUAAUGACAAACGAACUUGAGCACACACACAGAGUUGAGGCAACAGUCAACUGUGUGGCUGUCUAAGACCAACCCAUGUAAUAUCUGUAUUUUCUGAAAUAAAGAUAAAAACAGACUUGCUCAGUCUAGACUUGAAAGCAGAAGACCCAGGAAUGUUUCCACGUGGAAUCUGAGUUAGAUGCUGAUGUACCAACGUCGCAUUGUACUGAAGCAAAUGCCCCUGCUUUGGCAGUGCAAUAAAACACUGUUAUUUCAAAAAGGAGCUUUCACGACCAUCGAAUCCAGCCCCUGCGGCCCUGAGAGAGAAGGGGACUUCCCCGAGAUCACACAUGGAAUUAAUGUGCCAGGUCAUACAGUGGCAAUAUUGACCCAGAAGGUGUCUCCAGGAAUUAAUGCCUAUUUAUUCUUGGCAAGGAAAAGGCCCUGGUACUCACUCAGAGCCCCAGAGGUCUAGCAGCAGAGCCUGACCUCCUGCAGCCAUCUGAACGUGACCCCUGCCAAUGGGAAGAGUGAGCCAUUGGGCAAGUGAGUUCCAGCAGCGACUGCAUCCCAGAACAAGUGAGGACAGAAUAGCAAUCUUUUACAGUCCCUGAAAGUGUAGGGAAAUAAUAUAGGUAUAACAUAGAUAAUAAAAUCCCUUUGUCCUUCACCUUGAGAUAGCUGGCAAGAUCAGGUACCAGGUCACUGUGUCCCCUUCUCAGCCACGGCUGGAAAGAUCUAGAGAGACAGGGUGAUGUGCUGGAGAGAACACUGGUCUCAAGGUCAGCAGUCUGUGACUUUCAUCUCAGUUUUGCCACUUUGUACACUUUGCUGGGCCUUAGUCUCCUCAUGUGUAAAACUGGUGGACUGGAUUGGACAGAUUCUGGUUUAAGCUUUUCUGCUUUGACCAAAGCUCUGUGACCUUUAAAACAUUGUUUAACCUUUCUGAAACAGAGUUUUCAUGUAUGGAGUUAGGAGACUGGACUGGCUGAUGCCACUCUUAACAUUCUAGAGCUCCUUUUAUUUCACACACACACACACACACACACACACACACACACACACACGUACCCCUCCCCAUUAAUUCUCCUUCUUCGACUCCAGGCUUCCUUACAACUGAUACUCAGUUGAGAGAUAAAAAAAUUAAAAACAUGAGCAUGGCUGUCAGCUAGAACACUUGUUUUUAUUGUGAUUUUCCAAUAAGAGCUUGAGAACUCAUCUUGCAAACCAUGAAGAAGGGAUGACACACUUGCUGGGACUGGAGUGAUUGCUGCUACAUCCCACUGCCUUCCAAAAGCACUAUCAGGGGCAUACGUGUCAUGGCAAUAAACAAUUGGAGGUUCUGGGCCAACGCACCUGAAAUAAACCCUGAGAAAAUUUAUUUCACUCAAAAAAAAAAAAAAAAAAAAAAAAAAAAGCAGCUAUCAUAUAGAAGGAAUACUAAUAGGAAUCAAAAGUAAGAAUAAGCCUUUGUUAACUCAACAAAACGGCACAGGCAGUAAAGCUAACACUUUGGGGUGACAAUGGUGAAAGAGAGCCGCACUCACUCACCUGGUGUGAAAUUAUCAGAUGAUGCACCUCACACCUACCUGAAUUUUGUUCCUCCUGAAAGUUGCUGAACCAAAAGAAACAUCAGAGUAAAAAACACCUGAACCAACUGGUCAACCUUAACAUCAGAGAAAGAAAGAGAGGAUGAGAAUGAAAACAGCAGGCAGUUACCCACCUCUUUUUUUUGUUUGUUCUUUUUUUUUUGGCCCCACCCAUGGCAGAUGGAAGUUCUUGGGGCCAGGUAUUGAAUCCGAACUGCAGGUGCAACCUGUGCCACAGCCGUGGCAAUGCGGGAUCCUUAAUCCACUGUACAAGGCUGGAGAUUGAACCCACACUGCCACAGAGACAAUGCCAAAUCCUUAACCUGUUGUGCCACAGCAGGAACUCCAGGCGUUAAAAUGCAAGUAAAAAUAUUGCUAUUCAGUACAUUGGCCCCAACCCUCCAAAGCAAGAGAAAAGAAAGAGGA